rnacentral:rRNA from 1 species
AAAGCCAAAAACUCAAAGGACUUGACGGUGUCCUGGUCCCCUAGAGGAGCCUGUCCCUUAAUCGAUGCUCCACGCUUUACCUCACCCCCUUUAGCCCCCACAGCCUAUAUACCGCCGUCGAAAGUCUACCUUCUGAGAGCACCACCGUAGGCAAACAAGAACCCCUCUCACACGCCAGGUCAAGGUGUAGCUAAUAAGGGGGCGCGCGAUGGGCUACACUCUUUAAACUAAAGUCCCGUAAGAAGCAUGAAAACCUUCCCACAGGCGGAUUUAGCAGUAAACUUAACAAGUCGUGUUAACUUGAACCCCACCACAGGA